UGCGUAGGUGGUUUCUUAAGUCUGAUGUGAAAGCCCACGGCUCAACCGUGGAGGGUCAUUGGAAACUGGGAGACUUGAGUGCAGAAGAGGAUAGUGGAAUUCCAAGUGUAGCGGUGAAAUGCGUAGAGAUUUGGAGGAACACCAGUGGCGAAGGCGACUGUCUGGUCUGUAACUGACACUGAGGCGCGAAAGCGUGGGGAGCAAACA
rnacentral:rRNA from 1 species